CCUAGUUUAACUCCUCAUGUGCGCAUUGAUAACCUCUGGUGUAAUUAACCAUGCAUUGUAGAGUAUUUAAUGCACAUGCGGAUAUGACAAAUUAACAAGGCAGGCAGGCAGGCAUCCCGUGGGCACACAUCCCCGGGAACUGUACAAUGUGGAAUACUGUAACAUUAGAGCAAACGCACAAGGUGCCUGAAUAACAAAACAAAGGUUGAGAGAGGUGUAUUCUGCUGAGAGCGCGGAGAGCUCGCGCUCUCUACGGCUUUCUGAGGGGAACGAGAGCUCCUACUUGAUGCUGCCGGCGGAAAGUGCGCGCUGCAGGGCGACGGCGCAGUCACAUGCGCCCAUCAAAGCCUCUGCUGCAAGCGGGAGGAACCUGGCAGUGACAGGCCGAAUCAAGGCCUACACAGGAAGGAGUACUGGAAGGACUGAGGAGAUCUUGUCUUAAUGUACAGACAGACCAGGAGGCAAGCUGGCAGCAGAGAGAGGCCACCUUGGGCAUAAGAGGUGAGGCCUACUCUUAACAUCACACCUCCAGCUAACCCCACCCCCAAUCUCCAGCUUCAGCCAGAAAUUGGCCUGCCACCUCAGUGGAUAUGGACAGAGAAAGCUGCGAUUUAGCAGGUUUCUUGGCAAGGACAAGACCUAGCGAGCGGAUUGCCUAUCCGUGUUUUGGGGCGAUUAGAACCAGAUGGGUCAGGUUGUGCCCUCCCGCCAGGCUAGGGCAGUGGAGUGACUGUCACUCAGACCCAUCUGGGGGGGAGGCAUGUUAUGGCACUGAGGGUGUAAGUGUAAACAGUCUCCGUUAUAUGACUGACACUCAGUUUUGGUGGUAGACCUGACAUCCUCCAUUUGACACAGAAACAUAGAGGAAUACAGCUAGAGCCAGCUAGAGAGAAAGGGAAACAUGCUGGAGAGGGACUGGAGAAGAGAAAAAUAUUGAUUUUUGAAAAUUAGCACCCAGGGUAGUGAGAUGGCAGGAAGAAGGGAGAUACACAUUUAGAAGAAUUCCUUUAAAGAUUAUCAUGAAACAUAGAUGCAUUUUAGCUUUGUCUACGCCUGAUGAGGUUUAAAGAUAAGCACACAUGGAAAGGGAAGGGGGAAGGAGGUGCUGUGGUGACUCUUCUCCUUCCUUUCAUUCUUUCAUUCUGCCACUUUCUCCUGAUCAGGUUUCUCCCGGUCUAUCAGCUGAGUGGUCGUAUGGGGUUUGAUCAAUGGCAGGAAACCAGCAGAUCAAAUGGUAAUUUAUCUGAAAAAGAUAGGCUAGCAUCUACACAACCAUGCCUCUGAGCUACAAGCUCUCACAGUCUCAUGCCAAGAAUUAAAUGUUAAUGAUUUUCAAAUGUCAAAUUCAGAAGUUGUUCCAAUUAAGUUUUUGGCAUUAUCUUCGAAUUCUUAAGGUUAGGCAUUAACUCAGAAAGGUUAAGGUAAGGUUUGGGAUAUGAUUAAAACAAAAAUAUUAAAAAACAACUUUCUAUUGCUGGUGGUUCUCCUUGUGUUGUGGGGGUUGUGUGUAGUGUUUUUCCCCAUAGUACACAGUAACGCUGAGGGUGGAUGCAUACAGCACACCUAGGGGGUUAUUUAAUAUGCACAAUUAUUACUCACUCACUCUCCACCAGCUGUAUGCAAAUAUACAACAUAUUGCCUUGGGUCUCUGUGGAGAACCUCACUACUCGCUCCGACUCACCAUAGGCUUUUAUCUGUAAUUAUACUACACACUAAAUUCAUCUCUAGGUUUAUUGAUUUUGAUAUUUUUUAUUACCAUUGUUCAACAAUGCGCAAUAAGGGAUUGCAGUGGUGUUUCCAUUUGGCAGUUGUUUGCUGUAAUUCUGAAAUAGUUUAAACCACUUGAUUGUAUUAUGCAUUUUAAAUACAUGUUAUGAGCUGAUAUUGGAUUAAUUGCCCACAUUCUCAGAAUGUUCUAUUUUUGUUACAUAUUAAAGUACUUAAAUAGGAUACGUUUGCUCACGUAUAAUGGAUUUCAGCAGACAAUGGACCCCCUUCUUGUGAAUUAGAAUCGUCCCCAAGGGCAAAACUCGAACUGAACUACAAUGGGAUAUUGCUACAAUGCUUUCCAAGAAAUAAGACAAUAUUUAGUAUUUAUUAGGAUCCCCAUUAGCUACAGCCAAGGCAGCAGCUACUCUUCCUGGGGUCCAAAUAUGAAUAAAAACUGUUGCAUCUAAACAAAACAGCCGCCUACAUCAUAAAUAUAACUAUAUAUCAUACAAUACAUUAUUACAUCUUUACUUGAAUAUUACACAUUUACAAUAUAAAAUGUACAAUACUACAAUAAUACAAUAUUACAAUGUGUGUGUGUCUAGUGUGUGUGUUAGAGUGUGUGUAUGCGUGUGUUUGUGUGUGUCUCUUCACAGAGAGACACACACGUUGUGCCGUGAGGUAUUGUUUUAUCCGUUUUUUAAAUCUGAUUUUACCGUGCGUUUCCCAGAGUUUUUUAUGGACUUGGGGACUGUGAAAAGACCCCUGGUGGCAUGUCUUGUGGGGUAUGUAUGGGUGUCUGAGCAGUGUGUUAGCUGUUUGAACAUACCGUUUGGUGCUUUCAAUAUGUGAAUUCCUCUCACAAAAACAAGUGUCCUCUACUUUGAGCCAGGAGAGAUUGACUUCAUGUUAUUGAUAUUAGCCCUCCAAUAUUAGCCCAAAUACUGUAUUUUCUAUGGCAUAUCUGGAAACACUUAAUUGACACCACAAUGCCUUUACAGUAAUGAUUUGUAUCUAAUCUACUAACUGAGCUGAGGUAUUGUUCUUUCGUGAGGAGAGGGGUGUUCCUAAUCUGAGCCCGAUACAAUGUGGUGCUGUGUUCCUAAUCUGGGACCCUUACAGUAGGUUCUCCUGCCACCCCUUGUAACUCUUUGCUUCUGUCAAAAUAGACAUUCUCAAAUUGAAUUAAGGUCCUGUUCUGUGCUGCACCCCCACGGACCCCUUCGAGCGCUCUCCUGAACCCCCUUGGUCCGGUCCUGUUCCCCUCAUCCAGCCGCCUCGGACUAAUUAAAACCAAUGUGGCCUUGUCUUCACUGGAUUAACUCUAACGAGGAUUCACUGACUCCACCAGCAUGUGCCUCUUGAUGAGAGAGAGAGAGACAGAGACAGAGACAGAGAUAGACAGAAAAAAAAUGGGAGGAUUUGUCCAGGCAACCUUAGCCUUGAAACCCAACACUUAAUUCACUACAGAUGAUACAGAAAAGGUGGAAGAGAGAAAGAGAGAAAGAGACAAAUAUACUUAUGUUGAUAGUUUAAAUCACUAGUGUGUGUAGUGUUUUAAAAACUGUUAGUGAAACAAUUGAAACGUGGGCUUAUUGUGAAGAGAGUCAUAAAAUGGACCUCUGGUCAGCCCUCUUUGAAUCCAUUUGAUUCCAUCAUACAGAGAGAGGAAUGCCAAUUCUCUUUCUUUGUGUGUGUGUGUGUGUGUGUGUGUGUGUGUGUGUGUGUGUGUGUGUGUGUGUGUGUGUGUGUGUGUGUGUGUGUGUGUGUGUGCGUGCCAGGGGCAGAGAAAAAUGUAAUUCUCUGUCUUUGAUAAUGCAUUAAUAAUAAAAUGC